rnacentral:rRNA from 1 species
UUCGUAGUUGAACUUGUGCUUCAUACGGGUAGUAUAACUAUAAUUGUAGUCUGUACUAUACCUUAUGUAUGUAAGCGUAUUACCGGUGGAGUUCUUAUAUAUAUUAAAUACUUGUAUUUAUAUGUAUUCCUCCUAUUUAAACCUGCUUCAAUGCUCUUCAUUGCGUGCUGUUGUAGGCCGGUACAAUUACUUUGAACAAAUUAGAGUGCUUAAAGCAGGCUCCAAAUGCCUGAAUAUUUUGUGCAUGGAAUAAUGAAAUAAGACCUCUGUUCUACUUUCAUUGGUUUUUAGAUCAAGAGGUAAUGAUUAAUAGAAGCAGUUUGGGGGCAUUAGUAUUACGACGCGAGAGGUGAAAUUCUUGGACCGUCGUAAGACUAACUUAAGCGAAAGCAUUUGCCAAAGAUGUUUUCAUUAAUCAAGAACGAAAGUUAGAGGUUCGAAGGCGAUCAGAUACCGCCCUAGUUCUAACCAUAAACGAUGCCAGCUAGCAAUUGGGUGUAGCUACUAUUAUGGCUCUCUCAGUCGCUUCCCGGGAAACCAAAGCUUUUGGGCUCCGGGGGAAGUAUGGUUGCAAAGCUGAAACUUAAAGGAAUUGACGGAAGGGCACCACCAGGAGUGGAGCCUGCGGCUUAAUUUGACCCAACACGGGAAAACUUACCAGGUCCGAACAUAAGCGUGUAAGACAGAUUGAUAGCUCUUUCUCGAAUCUAUGGGUGGUGGUGCAUGGCCGUUCUUAGUUCGUGGAGUGAUUUGUCUGGUUAAUUCCGAUAACGAACGAGACUCAAAUAUAUUAAAUAGAUGCUUUCAGGAUUAUGGUGUUUGAAGCUUUUAUAGCCUUCAUUCAUGAAUGCAGUAACAUGUGUGAGUGUUUGAAUGUGUUUAUAAAGGUGGAGCCGUACCUGUUGGUUUGUCCCAUUAUAAGGACACUAGCUUCUUAAAUGGACAAAUUGCGUCUAGCAAUGAGAUUGAGCAAUAACAGGUCUGUGAUGCCCUUAGAUGUCCUGGGCUGCACGCGCGCUACAAUGAAAGUAUCAACGUGUAUUUCCUAGACCGAGAGGUCCGGGUAAACCGCUGAACCACUUUCAUGCUUGGGAUUGUGAACUGAAACUGUUCACAUGAACUUGGAAUUCCCAGUAAGUGUGAGUCAUUAACUCGCAUUGAUUACGUCCCUGCCCUUUGUACACACCGCCCGUCGCUACUACCGAUUGAAUUAUUUAGUGAGGUCUCCGGACGUGAUCACUGUAACGCCUUGCGUGUUACGGAUGUUUCGCAAAAGUUGACCGAACUUGAUUAUUUAGAGGAAGUAAAAGUC